AUAUUAAUAAGCGGAGGAAAAGAAAAUAACCAUGAUUCCCCUAGUAACGGCGAGUGAAGCGGGAACAGCUCAAAUUUGAAAUCUCACAGUUUCACUGUGCGAAUUGUAGUUUAGAGAAGCGUUUUCUGGGCCAGGCUGGGCCGAAGUUCUUUGGAACGAGACAUCAUAGAGGGUGAGAAUCCCGUAAAUGAUUCAGAGGCUGGUCCAAUGUGAUACGCUUUCGGAGAGUCGGUUUGUUUGGGAAUGCAGACCUAAAUGGGUGGUAAAUACCAUCUAAAGCUAAAUAUUGGCGAGAGACCGAUAGCGCACAAGUA
rnacentral:rRNA from 1 species